rnacentral:tRNA from 1 species
GAGGGUAUAACCCAGUGGUAGAGUGCAUGCUUAGCAUGCACAAGGUCCUGGGAUCGAGCUCCAGUACCUCCG